GACGAACGCUGGCGGCGUGCUUAACACAUGCAAGUCGAGCGGAGCGGCGAACGGGUGAGUAACGCGUGAGUAACUGCCCCCCUCUCUGGGAUAACAGUUGGAAACGGCUGCUAAUACCGGAUAGUGGGGGUUGACUCGCGUCCUAUCAGCUUGUUGGUGUGGUAGUGGCCUACCAAGGAGACGACGGGUAGCCGGUCUGAGAGGGCGACCGGCCACAUUGGGCUGAGGUGCGGCCCAAAAUCCUACGGGAGGCAGCAGUGAGGAAUAUUGCACGAUGGGGGGAACGCUGAUGCAGCAACGCACAUGCGGGGUGACGGCCUUCGGGAGGUAAGCCGCGAUCAAGCAUGACGCGGUAGUGGCCAAGGGGACAGCGACUAGCAACGUGCCAGCAGCCGCGGUAAUUC
rnacentral:rRNA from 1 species